rnacentral:rRNA from 1 species
GACGUAGGGCGCGAGCGUUGUCCGGAUUUAUUGGGCGUAAAGAGCUCGUAGGCGGCUUGUCGCGUCGACCGUGAAAACUUGGGGCUCAACCCCAAGCCUGCGGUCGAUACGGGCAGGCUAGAGUUCGGUAGGGGAGACUGGAAUUCCUGGUGUAGCGGUGAAAUGCGCAGAUAUCAGGAGGAACACCAGUGGCGAAAGCGGCUUCCUGGUCCAGCACCGACGUUCAGGCACGAAAGCGUGGGGAGCAAACAGG